CUGGGCUGCGGGCCUCUGGGGUCAUUAGCCGAGGAGGCUGUCUUUGCACACCCUGCCCGGCGUGCGGAAGUGAGCCAGCCGGCUCCCAGCCGCCUCUGCACGGAGACGGUCGCUCACCUAGUGUGCUGCCCCAAGCAGGGAGAGCCCAGGUGUGGAGAGUUCUGGACAUAGGGUGCCCUCCGCCACCCCUAGAGCACCGCUAAUUACUGGCCGGUGCUAUCUAGUCCCAGCUUAAAAAGAUGUACUCGUGUAAAAGGAAGUUUCCGGAAGAAAACGUGCUAGGAUGGUCUAUCUAUGUAGCCUGGCUCUCCUGGAACUCUGGAUUGGAUCCACUUUUCUCUACCUCCCAAGUUCUGGGAGUAAUGGUGUGUGUCAUCACUCCUGGCUUAGCUCAGAAUUUUAUUGCUCUCUUCCAAUACCUUUCAAAUGCUACAGAGAUUGGAAAACUUGGAAUGUUCCAUGGAUCUCAUCAUACCUUUGCCUUUCCUGCCCACCCAGUGAAAGUUCUGUCUUGCCGCCGCCUUUGAUGCUGCACUUAGCCAGCAUCCUUUCUUGGGUAGCUGACACUGGAUUCACACUGCCUCUGAGCCCCAGAACCUGACCUUGAGCAUGCUGCACAAGUUCAACAUGCUGGUGACAUGAGGACUGAAGGAAAGAAGUGAAGCUAUCCAAAACAUAAUCCAAAGGAGUAGGCCCCAAGGUUUCCCUCCAUGACAUCCUUGUGCUGCUUCCUCUCUGUUCUUGAAUUCUAGCCCCUUCCCCCUUUUAAAAACAGGGUGUCACUAUGUAGUUUUGACUAGCCUAGAACUCACUAUGUAGAACAGCCUGGCCUUGAACUUACAGAGAUCUGCCUGCUUCUGCCCACUGAGUGCUGAGAUUAAAGGUGUGCACCAUCACAUCGAGCUCUAGAUUUCUCUUUUGAUACCAUGAACAACCCAAUGCCCGUUUCAUUUUAGCUUUGGACUUAAAGGGAUUGUAAUGGUUUUUGAAUACUACCUGUGCAGAUUAAAGUGUUAGAAACAAUAAUCUCCAUGGGCAAAGGAACACACAAACAAAGCAAAAGUAACUUGGCAAGUGAAGCGUUUAUCUAAUUAUUCUUUAUCAAUAAAAAGUCUGGAGUCAAAUAUGGGGGGUAAGAACUGUGGGAGGCCAGCUGGGAGACUGGCUCCCACAUUUUACCCUAGAGUACUCUUAAGGAGGGAGGGAUAAGAGAUUUAGAUAGAAGGAUAGAGGGGAGAGAAACAGAUAGAAACACAGGAUAGCCUUGGGAGCGACUGGAUCCUUAUUCACCGGCCCCUCCUGGCUCUUCUAAAGUGCUAUUUAUAGGAAUGCCAAGGGGUGGAGCAAAAGACCUCCCCCAGCACAGCCAAGUGCAGACCCUUCCAAUCACGUAGAAACCAUGCACAUGGUCAAUCAAUCCUCUAAUGCAGCUCUGCUGGGUAAAGCAAGCUCAGAUCUCACUAAGAAACCUUUGUGGGCCUCCACAAAGAACCUGAAUGAUCAGAGAAUUGGCAGAGAAGCGACCAGUGACCACCUCUCUCUCUCUCUCUCUCUCAUUCCUCAAUCCUGGAGGGCCCAGAAUCUUUCUAAGCCCUACCCUACUACUUCCUGUGUCUCUCUAUAUGUCCUUGGUCCUCCAGAACCUCUAUGGUUAAUUUUGUUCAGCUAGUAGCUAGCUCCACCCUAUGAUUCAAAGCAAACUUUAUUGGCAGUCUCGGUAGUGUCAGAGUACAAUCAAAAUAUCCUACAACAGCAAGGCAAAUCUUUUUUUGUAAAAAGAGUAUGCUAGAACCCAAACAAGGGUAGCAAGCACACUAGGGCCAACAUGGCUCCUGUCUUUUAUCACUGAUGUAAGUGAUGACGAGACUUAUCUUAUUGGUGGGAGCUUGAUACACAGCCUGAUACCUCCUAUAACCUAACUAACUUCCACUAAGCCUUCCAAAGCUUUCAACACUGUCCCUUUCACUGGGAGUGUCUGGGCUCCUGUUGCCCUUCAUGUAGCUUUAAUUAGAUCUGUCUUCUGUCAGUAUUUAAAUAGGACUGUUGAUCUGAUGGUUUCCUCCCUAAAAAUAUACAAUCCUUCCUCUAAAUAAAACAUGACUCUUAAAAACAAAGUAGCAACCUUAGAUGUCUAAGCCUUCUAAAACACACCCUAACCUGAUGGUUGAUGAGGCUCCAAGCAGGCUGAGCAGGAAACAACUUGGU